AACCUGCCCAAUGAGUAGUUAAAUGGCCGCGGUAUUUUGACCGUGCAAAGGUAGCAUAAUCAUUAGUUUCUUAAUUGGAAGCUGGAAUGAAAGGUUGGAUGAAAAAAUUACUGUCUCUAUCUAAAUUUUUUAGAAUUUUAUUUUUAAGUAAAAAAGCUUAAAUGUGAAUAGAAGACGAGAAGACCCUAUAGAGUUUUAAUUUGGUUGGGGUGAUCAAAAAAUUUAAUAAACUUUUUUUAUAUAAAACCAUUAAUUUAUGAAUAUUUGAUCCUUUAUUUAAGAUUAAAAGAUUAAAUUACCUUAGGGAUAACAGCGUAAUUUUUUUUAAGAGUUCAAAUCGAAAAAAAAGUUUGCGACCUCGAUGUUGGAUUAAAAUAAAAUUUUGGUGUAGAAGCUA
rnacentral:rRNA from 1 species